rfam:Wickerhamomyces ciferrii, NRRL Y-1031 F-60-10, WGS project CAIF01000000 data, contig: 00198
UCUCGGAUAGUUUAAUGGUGAGAAUUACCGUUUGUCGAAGACAAUUCAUGGUAGAUCGGGGUUCAAUUCCCCGUCCGAGAG